ensembl:lncRNA
AUUACACAUGAUCAGACAUGAUUGUAUUCUCCAUAACAUUUAACUUGAUCUCAUUUUUCAGUUUACAGUGGGAACAUAUAAUAACUUAUAAUAACUUCAACAAUAACAAUGGAUUUUCAGAAGCUGGAUGACACUUUUUUGCCCCCCUCUUUACAGAGUUAUCACAAAGGCAAGUAAAUCUAACAUGACGCCAAGGUGUUGCCUGAACUGUGUACGAUAUGAUGACUCACAAUGAGAGGUGACAUAGCAGGUAAGAAUUUACAUCUUCUGGUGCCAAAAACAUACAGUAUGAGCCAGAUACAGUGCAAGUUAUAGACAGGAUUAAAGCACACCCACGCUCACACCAACUCCAAUAUAGAUUAUGAUAGAAAAAAAAAUAAAAGAAAUUACAAACAAGCAAAUGCUCCUCAUAUACUUUGACAUCCAACUGUGAAACCCAUACCACAAAUACCACUGAGUAUCUAAUCGGUUCUCUUGAAACCACGUGAACUCGACAAUUACAACAUCAGACUGACAGCUAAAACUUGCGCAUGGGCUUCUUUCAUACUAUUGCACAUAUAGAGGUGAUAUAGCUAAAAAGCACGACGGACCCGUGUGACAGAUUAAACAGAAAAAAAGCAAAAACUAAAACACGAAAAACCACUAACUCACUAAUACACAAAGUACAAUGCAGAUGUAUAGUGCAAAUUUACAUUGUGCUACUUCCAGCUUCUCAAUAAAUCACAAGAUCACGGCAAUUAUUUUCCAUUUGACUUAAAGCUCCAUGAUAACUUUAACAUAUAAAUGAUAGAAAUCUAGAAGCACGAGACCCUACACAAACACAACUCUUGCUCACAUGCACCGAGCUGUCAUUACGAGCCUUACGCAAAACAUAAUUUGAAGGGUGAUUUGUGUUUGACGUCAUCCUCAAACACAUUUCAGCCCGUGCAAUUACCUGUCUCAAGAUGGAGAAGAGAGAGAGAGAAGGUGAGGGAGGACAGAGGAAAGGGGGAGGAAGGAAGGUCGAUCGGUCGGUCCCUCUUUCAGUCGAUCCUCGGUGCAUACAUCCAAAUCGUAGGUCACCUUUUCUCACCGGC